CCAGCCAUUUGGGAGGCUGAGGUGGGAGGAUCACUUGAACCUGAGCACUUGGGGAGGCUGAGGUGGGUGAAUCACCUGAGGUCAGGAAUUUGAGACCAGCCUGGCUAACAUGGUGAAACCCUGUCUCUAUUAAAAACCUAGGCAGAGGACCCUGCGGCCUUCCACGGUGUUUGUGUCCCUGGGUACUUGAGAUUAGGGAGUGGUGAUGACUCUUAAGGAGCAUGCUGCCUUCAAGCAUCUGUUUAACAAAGCACAUCUUGCACCGCCCUUAAUCCAUUUAACCCUGAAUGGACACAGGACAUGUUUCAGAGAGCACAGGGUUGGGGGUAAGGUCACAGAUAACAGGAUCCCAAGGCAGAAGAAUUUCUCUUAGUACAGAACAAAAUGAAGUCUCCCAUGUCUACUUCUUUCUACACAGACACGGCAACCAUCCGAUUUCUC
rnacentral:lncRNA from 1 species